UACGGAGGGUGCGAGCGUUGUCCGGAAUCACUGGGCGUAAAGGGCGCGUAGGUGGUAACCUAAGCGUGUGGUGAAAGCCCGGGGCUCAACCUCGGGUCGGCCAUGCGAACUGGGUCACUGGAGCACUGUAGAGGCAGGUGGAAUUCCGGGUGUAGCGGUGGAAUGCGCAGAUAUCAGGAAGAACACCAAUGGCGAAAGCAGCUCUCUGGGACGGUACUGACGCUGAGACGCGAAAGCGUGGGGAGCGAACAGG
rnacentral:rRNA from 1 species